rnacentral:lncRNA from 1 species
GGGGCCUAAGCCCAUUCCAAUUGAGACAUUGUCCUUCGAGGAAUAUUUUGCAUCCAAUUACUCCCGCGGAGCCCCCAUAGUCACCAAAUGCUCUUAACGUUGAUGAUUAUCAAUUGACUUUGAUGUCAUUCAUGCAACCGCAAUAGACCCAACACCGUAGUCAACAUUCACAGCCUAGUGGUUACCACCCAAAGAUGCCAACCUCCAGAUCGACAGUUCAGUUCAGGUGGGAUCUAAAUUUAGCUCUUAAGCCAGAAGGAGGAGGAGAUAUCGAAGCAUUAGUUUGGAUGGGAUCUUACCAUAGAAGGACAUGGGGUUUCAAUACCAGAUCAUUCAAUCAAGUUCCUAAUUUGAAUGACCUAGCCAAUGUUUUUGAUCAUGGUUUAGAGAAGAAUGAUCCAUUCGUUACACCGCCACCCGCAGACACUCAACAAAAGCACGAGGACAACGAUAAUGGGGAUGAGAAUAUUCUUGUAAAUCGUCACAAUCAACCCCCUCCUAUUGAAGAAGGCCUCCCUAGCAGUACACACCUCGAAUGACGAUGUCAAAUCAUAUUUUUUAGAAAUUUGUAAAUGUUUAUUUUCGUAAUUUAUAUUUUAUUUAUCAAUGUUGAAUGAUUUACAUAAUUGAUUUUAAUAUU